CCUGGUAGUCCACGCCGUAAACGAUGUCGAUUUGGAGGUUGUGCCCUUGAGGCGUGGCUUCCGGAGCUAACGCGUUAAAUCGACCGCCUGGGGAGUACGGCCGCAAGGUUAAAACUCAAAUGAAUUGACGGGGGCCCGCACAAGCGGUGGAGCAUGUGGUUUAAUUCGAUGCAACGCGAAGAACCUUACCUGGUCUUGACAUCCACAGAACUUUCCAGAGAUGGAUUGGUGCCUUCGGGAACUGUGAGACAGGUGCUGCAUGGCUGUCGUCAGCUCGUGUUGUGAAAUGUUGGGUUAAGUCCCGCAACGAGCGCAACCCUUAUCCUUUGUUGCCAGCGGUCCGGCCGGGAACUCAAAGGAGACUGCCAGUGAUAAACUGGAGGAAGGUGGGGAUGACGUCAAGUCAUCAUG
rnacentral:rRNA from 1 species